CAGUCGCCGCGGUAAUACGUAGGGUGCGAGCGUUAAUCGGAAUUACUGGGCGUAAAGCGUGCGCAGGCGGUUCGUUAAGACAGAUGUGAAAUCCCCGGGCUUAACCUGGGAACCGCAUUUGUGACUGGCGAGCUAGAGUAUGGCAGAGGGGGGUAGAAUUCCACGUGUAGCAGUGAAAUGCGUAGAGAUGUGGAGGAAUACCGAUGGCGAAGGCAGCCCCCUGGGCCAAUACUGACGCUCAUGCACGAAAGCGUGGGGAGCAAACAGGAUUAGAGACCCCAGUAGUCCCUGUCUCUUAUAC
rnacentral:rRNA from 1 species